UACGUAGGUGACAAGCGUUGUCCGGAUUUACUGGGCGUAAAGAGCGCGCAGGCGGUCGUUCAAGUCGAGUGUGAAAGCCCCCGGCUCAACUGGGGAGGGUCACUCGAUACUGAUCGACUUGAAGGCAGGAGAGGGAAGCGGAAUUCCCGGUGUAGUGGUGAAAUGCGUAGAUAUCGGGAGGAACACUAGUGGCGAAGGCGGCUUCCUGGCCUGUUCUUGACGCUGAGGCGCGAAAGCUAGGGUAGCAAACGGG
rnacentral:rRNA from 1 species